AGUCGAACGAUGAUGCCCAGCUUGCUGGGUGGAUUAGUGGCGAACGGGUGAGUCACACGUGAGUGCACCUGCCCCUGUACUCUGGGAUAAGCGUUGGAAACGACGUCUAAUACUGGAUAUGAUCACUGGCCGCAUGGUCUGGUGGUGGAAAGAUUUUUUGGUUGGGGAUGGACUCGCGGCCUAUCAGCUUGUUGGUGAGGUAAUGGCUCACCAAGGCGACGACGGGUAGCCGGCCUGAGAGGGUGACCGGCCACACUGGGACUGAGACACGGCCCAGACUCCUACGGGAGGCAGCAGUGGGGAAUAUUGCACAAUGGGCGAAAGCCUGAUGCAGCAACGCCGCGUGAGGGAUGACGGCCUUCGGGUUGUAAACCUCUUUUAGUAGGGAAGAAGCGAAAGUGACGGUACCUGCAGAAAAAGCACCGGCUAACUACGUGCCAGCAGCCGCGGUAAUACGUAGGGUGCAAGCGUUGUCCGGAAUUAUUGGGCGUAAAGAGCUCGUAGGCGGUUUGUCGCGUCUGCUGUGAAAUCCCGAGGCUCAACCUCGGGCUUGCAGUGGGUACGGGCAGACUAGAGUGCGGUAGGGGAGAUUGGAAUUCCUGGUGUAGCGGUGGAAUGCGCAGAUAUCAGGAGGAACACCGAUGGCGAAGGCAGAUCUCUGGGCCGUAACUGACGCUGAGGAGCGAAAGCAUGGGGAGCGAACAGGAUUAGAUACCCUGGUAGUCCAUGCCGUAAACGUUGGGCGCUAGAUGUAGGGACCUUUCCACGGUUUCUGUGUCGUAGCUAACGCAUUAAGCGCCCCGCCUGGGGAGUACGGCCGCAAGGCUAAAACUCAAAGGAAUUGACGGGGGCCCGCACAAGCGGCGGAGCAUGCGGAUUAAUUCGAUGCAACGCGAAGAACCUUACCAAGGCUUGACAUACACCGGAAACGGCCAGAGAUGGUCGCCCCCUUGUGGUCGGUGUACAGGUGGUGCAUGGUUGUCGUCAGCUCGUGUCGUGAGAUGUUGGGUUAAGUCCCGCAACGAGCGCAACCCUCGUUCUAUGUUGCCAGCGGGUUAUGCCGGGGACUCAUAGGAGACUGCCGGGGUCAACUCGGAGGAAGGUGGGGAUGACGUCAAAUCAUCAUGCCCCUUAUGUCUUGGGCUUCACGCAUGCUACAAUGGCCGGUACAAAGGGCUGCGAUACCGUAAGGUGGAGCGAAUCCCAAAAAGCCGGGCUCAGUUCGGAUUGAGGUAUGCCACUCGACCUCAUGAAGUCGGAGUCGCUAGUAAGAGCAGAUCAGCAACGCUGCGGUGCAGACGUUACCCGGGCCUUGGAACAACACCGCCCGUACAAGUUCAUGAAAGUCGUCACAACCCGAAGCCGGUGGCCUAACCCUUGUGGAAG
rnacentral:rRNA from 1 species